GAUGAACGCUGGCGGCGUGCCUAACACAUGCAAGUCGAGCGGCAGCGAGGGGUGCUUGCACCCUGUCGGCGAGCGGCGGACGGCUGAGUAACGCGUGGGAACGUGCCCCAAAGUGAGGAAUAACUGCCCGAAAGGGUAGCUAAUACCGCAUAUUAUCUUCGGAUCAAAGGAUUUAUCCGCUUUGGGAGCGGCUCGCGUCGGAUUAGGUAGUUGGUGAGGUAAUGGCUCACCAAGCCGACGAUCCGUAGCUGGUCUGAGAGGAUGACCAGCCAGACUGGAACUGAGACACGGUCCAGACUCCUGCGGGAGGCAGCAGUGAGGAAUCUUCCACAAUGGGCGAAAGCCUGAUGGAGCAACGCCGCGUGCAGGACUAAGGCCUUCGGGUUGUAAACUGCUUUUAUGAGUGAGGAAUAUGACGGUAACUUAUGAAUAAGGAUCGGCUAACUACGUG
rnacentral:rRNA from 1 species